ensembl:lncRNA
GCAGUUUUCAAAAUAAUGUUUCAUUUAUUUAAGCAUUAACAGUAAUAAUCAGAAGUAAAUACAUGGAGGAAUGUCUGUAUGCCCUAUGAAAGGGUAACAGCCAUAUUUCUCCACAGCAUUUAUAACAAUAAAUCAUUAUUAUUGCUUUAUCUCUAAAUAGAUACCUUCAGUCAUCAUUAUUCUUUCCUUAUGAUGCCCGGUGUCACUUUUGAGCCAUUUUAAGGGAGGAGUAUUUAUACAUACAAUAAGAUUGUGGCUACCCAGUAAUCUUCCCAUGUGACUGGUGAAUGUUCAGCCACAAAUAUUUACAACACUGUAAAAAUCCACCUUAGAGUUUGUUAGACAAACUAAAUGUUGGCUGAACUUAACUAAAAAAGCUGAUUACAAAACAAACUGACAGUGAAUUUUAGCAUUACAUUUAACAUUUCAAACACAGCUCAUAGAAACAUACAACAUGGUUGUGAUGUGAUUAAAUGCUUGUGGUGUUACUCGUUUGUAAAUAGCUUUGGAUAUAGAAAUAUUUUAAAUAGCUAAUCUUUUGUUGUGCUAUUGAUGGUGGUUAAUUGUAUUUACUGAAUUGGGGUCUUAUCGCGAUUUGCUGUAUGUUCUGCAUAAGUAGGCCUAUUAUAGAUCAUUUAAUGGAGAUAAUAUUUUUCAGAUCAAUAUUUUUUUAUCCAGUGCACGCUGACACGCCCCCUUGUUUCCGUGGAGGACUACGCAGUUUCACUUUCACUUUCACUUAAAAACGAAGGGCUGUCGUGUUUGUUUGCUGCAGUAUCUCACCCUGGCGAACGCAUUUAUAUAAUCCUCAACAGUGUUAAGAUGGACACGAAGGAAAUGGUUAUUGAAGUGAAUGGACUUCCAGACAACUACUCCAAUAAUGAAAUGAUUGACAAAUUAACCAUGCACUUUUUGAGGCCCAGUAACAAAGGUGGAGAGGUUUUAAUAGUGAUUUAUCCCACCUCCAACAAAGGCCAGGCUUAUGUUGUUUUUGAAAAAGAAGAAGUACCAGGGGUCUUGGAACAUAAUCAUGUUUUGGAACUGGAUAGUCAGUUUUACCCACUGGAUGUUAAAAAGAUGCAUCAGCCUAAAUUGGACAUGCCAGCUGAAGCAUUCCUCAAUGUGAAGAUGUUCUCCAGUCAGAGAGAGAUCCGAAACAUUCUUCAUGGCCAUGGCUUCCAGGUGUCAGAGACCAGCCUGGGACAGCUGCAUUUGCAGGGAACCUUUCUUAACUUAAAACGCAUCCACCCCAAACUCAUGCAUCUUCUGGCUCAAGAAAUUCACCCUCAAAGAAGAACACAUUCGCUAUACUCUAAUGGCUACUCAUCUGAGUCUGUCAUGAGAGCUGGCUCCAGUGACUAUGAAUCUAGAUCUCAUUCCACAUCGAGGCACAGUCACACCAAUGGCCACUCAAUGUAUGCUGCGGGCAGAAACCCAUCUUCUGGAAUAAACUCAAGAUCCCCAGACAAGCAGGCACUCAUGCAGGCUGCCUCUCCACUGGAUGUGAGUUCAAACACAGAAAGUUCCUUCAGCAGUCCCACCAGGAGCUAUGAGAAUUCCAGCACAAGCAUUCAGAAGCGGAAUCUCUCAUCUCCCAAACGGAAAACUGAGGAUUCCUUUCAUGUGGAUCCAGAUGUGUUUAAAUACGUAAUGUACUUUAAGGAAUCGUUUAUUGAAAAAAUAGAAUCAGAUUACCACACUAAGAUUAAUCAUGAAGAUGAUUCAGGGUUUGUUAAGGUUAAAGUCUUGGGAGGAGCCUGUGAGGAAGCAGCUAAAAAAAUGUCUAAAUUCAUGCAAGAGAUAAGCUCAUCUCUACGUACGCAUGAAAUAGACCUGAAAAAGCUUGACUCCAGUCAGCAGAGACACAUUUUCCAGAACGCUUACUCAUUCCAAAAGAUCUACAGUGUUUUAAUUAGGCAGGAAAGUGACAUUUUUAAAGUGGUGGGGUCCUCUAAAGACAGUUAUGAAGCGAAGGAAAAGCUUCUUGGACGGGAGGUUGAAAAUGCUCCGCCAGGACACUUUCCAAAGAACAUUCUGCGACGCAGCAGGUCUUUGCCAAGAUCAAAAACAAGGGCCAGAGAGGAGAACAUAGACUUAGGACAAAGUCCUGAUGCUGUGGACACUACUCCUGUUAGUAGCUCCUCUGCCUCACAUUCCCGAAAGGACUCUCAGUUGCAGCAAGAAGUACAACAGGAAAGAGGUCGCAAGCCGACUAAAUCCUCUACACCACGUGGCAGGGCACACAGCGCCUCUCGGUUACAACACAAAGAUCAAAGCAGAGUAAACCAAGAAGCAUCAAGUUCUGAUCAGCAGUAUUUGACACCAUCUAAUGAAGUUCAGACAUCUAAACAAAAACUCCCUAAAAUAAGAUCUCCUCUUUUUUCUGGUUCUGUUGAUAAAUUCAUUAAAAAUACAUUAAAGCCACGCUUUAAGAAAUGACUAAAUCCAGUACAUCAAUACUCUGUCUUAUGGCACGGACUGAUCACAUCAAGUUAUCAUCCACUGUAAAACACAGAACUUAAAUAAAAUUGGUCAGACACCUUGUGAUUACCUCUGC